CUCGAAGUCGGAAUCCUCGCAAAGGGAAAAAGGUGGAGAGUAACGCUUCGCAAAACAGGAAGGUCACAGACUUCUUCCCAAUCAGGAGGAGUAACAGGAAAACUCAAGCAGAGUUGAAG